UGACUUUCCGUGUACAAAUCUUACAGGUUAAUGAUAUUAAGAAUUCGUAGCAUGUUUUUUUGUUUACUGCUGGAUUUGCUAACAAGAUGUCUCUUGUGUUGUUGAUUGAUAUGCAGACUUGCUGUUUGUUGUUCAGUUGAAGGGCCCUCCAGGCUUAAGAUCUUUCGAGGAUAAUUGUGUCAUUGAAUCUGAAGGUUAUGCAAUCUCCUAUGUUGCUGCAUGUUGAUCUUCUGUUUUGUUGUAACUCUGUUUUGCUGCUCGAGUUCUUCUGCCAUUCAAUAGUCAAUACCAAGC